rnacentral:misc_RNA from 1 species
UCCGGUUUGUCACCGGCAGUCACCUUAGAGUGCCCAACUAAAUGCUGGCAACUAAGGUCAAGGGUUGCGCUCGUUGCGGGACUUAACCCAACAUCUCACGACACGAGCUGACGACAACCAUGCACCACCUGUCACUUUGCCCCCGAAGGGGAAGCUCUGUCUCCAGAGUGGUCAAAGGAUGUCAAGACCUGGUAAGGUUCUUCGCGUUGCUUCGAAUUAAACCACAUGCUCCACUGCUUGUGCGGGCCCCCGUCAAUUCCUUUGAGUUUCAGCCUUGCGGCCGUACUCCCCAGGCGGAGUGCUUAAUGUGUUAACUUCGGCACUACGGGCAUCGAAACCCCUAACACCUAGCACUCAUCGUUUACGGCGUGGACUAC